UUCUGAAUUUUUUCAGAUUUUUUUUGAGAAAAAUUAAUUGUAAAAACACAUAACAUAAAAUGUAUUGUCUUAAAUCUAUUGAAGUGUACAUUCCAGGUUGUGGCUUACAUGUGUAAUCCCAGAAUUUGAGGAUCUUAAGGCAGGAGGAUUGCUUGAUCCCAAAAGUUUGAGACCAGCCUGGGCAACAUAUGGAGAUUCCCACUCUACAAAUUUUUUUUUUUUUUUUUUAACCCAGGCAUGGUUGUGUGCACCUGUGGUCCCAGCUAAAAAUGUGGCAAAGCUUCUAACCAAUCCUCAAACCUUACUGAACAUAAGAAUAUUCAUACUGAAGAGAAACCAUACAAAUGUGAAGAAUGUGGGAAAGCCUUUAACCAGUUCUCAAACCUUACUACACAUAAAAGAAUUCAUACUGGAGAGAAACCCUACAAAUGUGAAGAAUGUGGCAAAGCUUUUAACCAGUCCUCAAUCCUUACUACACAUAAGAGAAUUCAUACUGGAGAGAAAUCCUACAAAUGUGAAGAAUGUGGCAAAGCCAUCUUACUCAAGGGUAUAGGUAAAUGAUGGUAACUAUACACUAUUUAAUAAGAUAAUGGACUAACAUUUCUAGUAAUCUGUUUUGCCAGUGGCUUUAAAUUGCAAAUAAGUCAGAGAAUAUUAUUCCUGUAGGUUGAAUUAUUACUCAUUUUUUCUUAUUUAAACUUAUUUUUCUUAAUUUUUGUGGGUACAUAGUAUGUGUAAAUAUGGCAUAUAUGGCAUAUUUUGAUACAGGUAUAUAAUAUGUAAUAAUUACAUAUGGGUAAAUGAAAUAUUCAUUACCUGCAGCAUUUAUUGUUUGUAUUUGUUUGUAUUAUAAACUAAUUCUGCACUUUUCGGUUUUUUUUUGAGACGAGUCUCACUAUGUCACCCAGGCUGUGCACGCCUGGGUGCAUUGGCGUGGUCUCAGCUCACUGCAACCUCCGCCUACUGGGUUCAAGUGAUUCUUCCGCCUCAGCCUCCUGAGUAGUUGGGACUACAGGCGCAUGCCACCACACUCAGCUAAUUUUUGUAUUUUUAGUAGAAACAGUUUCACUACGUUGGCCAGGUUUGUCUUGAACUCCUGACCCCAUGAUUAGCCCCCUCGGCCUCCCAAAGUGCUGGGAUUACAGGUGGGAGCCACCACACCCAGCCACUUUUAGUUGUUUUCAAAUGUACAUUAAAUUGUUGUUGGCUACAGGGUCUCUUUU
rnacentral:lncRNA from 10 species